rnacentral:rRNA from 1 species
CAGGAAAGACAUCACUCACAGAAGAAGCACCGGCUAACUCCGUGCCAGCAGCCGCGGUAAUACGGAGGGUGCAAGCGUUAAUCGGAAUUACUGGGCGUAAAGCGCGCGUAGGUGGCUUGAUAAGCCGGUUGUGAAAGCCCCGGGCUCAACCUGGGAACGGCAUCCGGAACUGUCAAGCUAGAGUGCAGGAGAGGAAGGUAGAAUUCCCGGUGUAGCGGUGAAAUGCGUAGAGAUCGGGAGGAAUACCAGUGGCGAAGGCGGCCUUCUGGACUGACACUGACACUGAGGUGCGAAAGCGUGGGUAGCAAACAGGAUUAGAUACCCUGGUAGUCCACGCCGUAAACGAUGUCGACCAGCCGUUGGGUGCCUAGCGCACUUUGUGGCGAAGUUAACGCGAUAAGUCGACCGCCUGGGGAGACGG